ACAGCUCGAAAGCUGCGAGGCUCGUCACGUACAGGGGUCGUACCCCUUCUUUGCGAGCGGGUCAAGGUCUGAGCAUUUUAGUCUCCCUUGAUAGACUCUUACUGGGUCCAGUCUUAAUGGACUGCGCGGCGUACCAGAAAGGCGGUGGCUCGUACCAUUCAUGCUCGAAGACAAACGCUAGAGAGCUGGUCAGCCUACUUUGCAAUGCGUCGUGGAGACCGGGUGGUGACGUCUUGCACGUGGUCAUGGAUCAAAGUCGCUCUAUCGCGGUGGUGUGCCACGUAGUGGUGCCAGUGUUGCUGUUGCAUGCCUGUGCCUCACGGCACGGCUGCUGGAUAACGAUGCCGCCCUAAGUACCUUUAGGGUGGAAGGCAGCAUAGUUUUUGCCAAAGGUGUGCGACAAGUGUUGCACCCGAAUCUGAACACCUUUGCACUGACCUGCAUGGCUCGAGUGGAUGGGCCUUGUGAUUUAGCAGGUGGACGCCCCGAUGACCGGAAUAGAGGUUUCAGGCCAUCGGGAUACGACCUUCUCAGUGUGCUUUACUGCUGAUAUAUCAGCCAUCGUCGACUUCAAUCUUGAUGAAUGUCGGAUAUUGAUAUCCUGCAAUUGCUGUCACGGCUAGCUCCGUGCCUCCGUACGAGGAGCAUUCUGGCUUGAUCUUUGUCCCGUUGUGUGGCAUCUCGCCCUUUAGUGCGCUUUGCGGCUCGUAGGCUUGUGUCUACGAAACUCGAUUCAGACUACUCUCGGACUGU
rnacentral:RNase_P_RNA from 2 species